CCGUAGCCCUGGUAGUAGUGACAUCCUUUUUGUUUUUUCUUCAAAACAAAAAGAUAUAGCGAAUAACAGGGCACGAG
rnacentral:sRNA from 1 species